GCCACUUUAACAAGAUCGCGCAGAGAGUGUUUUCGGGAGAUUGAAGUUCAGAGCCGUGUUAUCACCACCGGCGUUCGUUAGUGGCAGCGUAAACUUGGGAAGUUUUCUUUAUCUUUAAAAUCCGUGAUUCUCCUGCGACUUGUUAAACUAAAAGGCUGCGCCAGGUCUUAGUUGCGGCAUGCGGGACCUUUGUUGCAGCAUGUGGAUGUCUUAGAUGUGGCACAUGGAUAUCUUAGUUGCAGCAUGCAUGCAGGAUCUAGUUCCCCAACCAGGGAUCAAAUUUGGGCCCCCUGCAUUGGGAAUGUGGAGUCUUACCCCCUGGACCACCAGUUUUUUAAAGGAACCUCCAUACUGUUCUCCAUAGUGGCUGCACCAAUUUACAUUCCCAACAACAGUUUAUGAGGAUUCCCUUUUCUCCACACCCUCUCCAGCGUUCAUUAUUUGAAGACUUUUUGAUGAUGGCCAUUCUGACUGGUGUGAAGUGAUACCUCAUUAUAGUUUUGAUCUGUAUUUCUCUAACAGAGAUGUUGAGCAUCUUUUUAUGUGCCUGUUGACUGCCUGUAUAUCUUCUUUGGAGAAAUGUCUAUUUAGGUCUUCUGCCCAUUUUUUGAUUGGGUUGUUUUCUUGAUAUUGAGCUGUAUGAGCUGUUUGUAUAUUUUGGAAAUUAAGCCCUUGUCAGUCGCAUCAUUUGGGAAUAUUUUCUCCCAUUCUGUAGGUUGUCUUUUCAUUUUGUUUAUGGUUUCCUUUGCUGUGCAAAAGCUUGUAAGUUUAAUUAGGUCCCAUUGGUUUACUUUUGCUUUUAUUUCUUUUGCCUUAGGAGACUGACUUAAGAAUGCUUUGCUAUGAUUUAUGUCAGAGAAUAUUUUGCCUAUGUUCACUUCUACUGGGGAAGCAUUUUUAAAGACAAGGUGAGGGAGGGGAAUAGGAGGAUGUGUGAUCAGCUCAUGCACAAUUCUGAUUGGUUGAUGGUGAGGUUAACAGGGCAGUGUCAAUUAACAUUAUCAGUUCUCAGGCUCCAGUAGGUCUGGACAUGUUCAUGGUCAUCAAGUAGUUAACUUCUUCCAUUUGGUGGGGGUUUUAGCAUCUGUAAAACAGUUUUCCUAGCCCAACUGCUAUUUUUGUCACUACAUGUUCACAUCCUUUAAAUUAUUAAUUCUCUUUUUUUUAACAUUUUUUAAAUUGUAUCGUUUGCUUUUUUAAAUUGAAGUAUAGUUGAUGUACAAUAUUAUAUAAAUUACAGGUGUACAAUACAGUGAUUUACAAUUUUUUAAAGGUUAUACUCCAUUUAUAGUUAUAAAAUAUUGGCUGUAUUCCAUGUUGUAUCAAUACAAUACAUCCUUGUAGCUUAUUUUAUACCUAAUAGUCUGUACCUCUUAAUCCCCUACCCCUUUAUUGCCCCUCCUCCUUUCCCUCUCUGCACUGGUAACCACUAGUUUGUUCUCUAUUUGUGAGUUAGCUUCUUUGUUAUAUUCACUAGUUUGUUGUAGUUUUUAGAGUCCACAUGUAAGUGAUAUUAUACAGUAUUUGUCUUUCUCUGUCUGACUUAUUUCAAUGAUUAAUUCUUGAACAAGGCUUUUGUGACUCAGGGGAGGCCUGGGAGACCCAGCUUUUCUACAAAGAGGAGGCAGGCAGAGGAUAUGGGGAGAGAGGUCUGUCCUGGGAAAGCCCCAUAGGGUCCUGCUUGGUUACAAAAUAAUACUUAUUCACUUAACCAAAGUGACAAAAGAUUUCAAAAAACAGAUGCAGAUCACUUAAAGGCAAAGAAGCUCACACAAUCUGUUAUCAAAAGCAGUAUUCUAAGAAAACUUCGUUCUCUUAACAGAGAGAAGAACAAAAUCCAGUCCUGCACCAGCCUACUUUUAAGAACAAUAGCCAUUCGCCUAAUUAAGUUUAAUCUGAUCCCAGCCUGACCAUGCAUAAAACUCCUUUUUCAGGGCUCCCUUUCUACAAACCUUCCACAACUUUCUGUAUCUAUAUUAGUUCCUUUUUCCAUCCAGAAACAACCAAUUGUAGGACAAAAAUCACUAUUUCCCCUUAACACAAUGUACUUCCAUUCCUCAUACCUUCUUUUGCUGAAAGUCACGUUCUCCUUGCAUACUGAAAUGUUUCCCUUAAUAUAUUUUAUUAGCUUUAAUUACAUAUUACAAAUUUAACCCUUAAAAACUUUAAUCUCUAGUGAAAACUGACAAGGAACAAGUAAUUGUGAAUUGUUUGUCAUACCAGAAUUUUUUUAAAAAAUUAUUUAUUUAUUUUUGGCUACAUUUGGUCUUUGUUGCUGCUUGCGGGCUUUCUCUAGUUGCGGUGAGCGGGGGUUCCUCUUCGUUGUGGUGCAUGGGCUUCUCAUUGCAGUGGCUUCUCUUGUUGAGGAGCACAGGCUCUAGGUGCAUGGGCUUCAGUAGUUGUGGCACACAGGCUCAGUAGUUGUAGCUCGUUGGCUCUAGAGCGCAGGCUCAGUAGUUGUGGUGCACGGGCUUAGUUGCUCCACAGCAUGUGGGAUCUUUGCGGACCAGGGCUUGAACCUGUGUCCCCUGCAUUGCCAGGGAGAUCCUCAACCACUGUGCCACCAGGUAAGCCCAUCAGUAUUUUCUUUUUUUUUUCUUUUUAAUUAUUUUUUAUUUGGCUGCAUUGGGUCUUCGUUGCUGCACACGGGCUCCUCUCUGGUUGUGGUGAGUGGGGGCUACUCCUUGUUGCGAUGCACAGGCUUCUCAUUGCGGUGGCUUCUCUUGUUGCGGAGCACGGGCUCUAGGCGCACAGGCUUCGGUAGUUGUGGCAUACAGGCUCAGUAGUUGUGGCUCACGGGCUCUAGAGCGCAGGCUCAGUAGUUGUGGUGCAUGGGCUUAGUUGCUCUGCGGCAUGUGCGAUCUUCCUGGACCAGGGCCCGAACCCGCGUCCCCUGCAUUGGCAGGCAGAUUCUUAGCCACUGCACCACCAGGGAAGCCCCCAUCAGCAUUUUCUGAUUGGAAUAGUCCAUAACCAGGAGAAACAUCCAUUUUCUCAGAGAAUAAUUUCUUUCUUCAAUGUGGUACAAGAUGUGCGUCUAAUAAACCCAAACACCUUUAGCUUCCCUCUUGUAAGGAGACAAAAGUAGGCAAAUUUAGACUUGUUUAGCAAUUAAUAUUCCAGUAUUUUAUAUUAUUUGAAAUGACCUGGAUAUUCUAUGAAUUCCCAUCAUUUAACUUAAUUUAGCAAAGCUCAAAUUACCAAAAAUCUGGAGAAACUAUUUUAGACAGACAUACCCAAAACAUAAUUAUUCCUAAGAGUUCACCUGAAAAUUCUUAUCUCAGGUAACUUUAAACUUAUAAAAUAUCACCAUACCAAGUUAAUUUUUUUUUUUUUGCUGACAAACUCUGCAACACAAAUAAUAUGAACUUAUUGACCUUCAGUAAACCUUGCUACAAUAAAAAACAUGUCUAUAUUGAUUAAGUCAGCAAGCUUAAAAAGCUAUUAAUAUUAAUAGAUAUUAAUUUAAUAUUGAAUAUUUCCUAGGUCACGUGAACCUGAAAUUCAUUCUGGCCAGUUUCCUUUAUAUUUAGAAAUAUUUAGUUUGUAAGCACUUACUUUUAAGUCAACUAAAUAGAGGUCUUUUAUAAAUUUAAUUUUGAGAGUAUAUCCAGAGGUAGUGACAUCUCAUAUGUAUGAUGUGUACACAGACAUUUAAAUAGACGAAACUAGAGAUCUCAUAGUUUCACUUAAAAAACUUAGUUAUGAAUCAGAUAUUACAAUAUAAACUUACUAGCUUAUAAAUAACAGUUGGAAGAAGUUAAAUUUAUUUGCUCAGAUGACUAAGGAUUUACUAUUUGUGGGAAAGACUUAAAAUUUGUUCUUUUCCUUGAUAAACCCUUAAGGAGGCUAUGAAUUAGGUUUUGAGUGAGGGAGCCUUCUGGGUGAGGGAGCCUUUCUAGCAGUUUGAGUUUAAAAAGGCCUUUCUCAGGCUUCCCUGGUGGCGCAGUGGUUGAG